AUCGACAGAUUAUGAGACAUAACUAGUAAUAGUUACCGUAUUAUAGUAGUAUAGUGGAAAAACGCAGAUAAAUAUUUAUCACAAUUCAGCUAUACCCGCAUGACCGAAUGUUUUUUAUAUCCGUACAUAAAUUGUCAUCGGUCGCGAUAGUGUGUUAUCUGGCUGUUAGGCGCUAAGCCGUUAAUAAUAAAAAAUUAGUAGGAGUAAUUGGAGUAAUUGGUUUUACAAUGUUAUUAUUAUUUUUUUUUUAUUCUAGUAUGUGAACACGUUUUUUCUUAAUAAACUUGUUCUAAUUUUUACGUAUAGCACCUUUUCUGAAAGCUCAAAUUGUCUAGGAUUAUACUUUAAAGAAGUCAUUUAUUGGUUUUUUUUAAAUAAAAGCACUUGAGUGAGGGGAAAACGCAGGAAAACAUAAAAUUCCACGAUUUAAUUAUUUUAUAAAAACACGACGUUUUAUACCAGAAAAAAUUAUUUAAUCGAAAAAUCACAAGAGACCUUUUUUGUUGCAUUUUUGAUUUACUUUCUUACGGUUUCAUCGCCAAAACUUUUGAACUUUUAAGGGAUUUUAAUUUUUUUGAUGUAAUUUGGUUAUAAAUCGACGUAGACUUGAAACUUGGUAAUACUUAUAUUAGAGUUACCUAGACGUGGUAAAAUUUUCAAAAUUAUCGGACUUUUUUUUUUUCAUAAGUGUUUUGAAAUCAAAUUUAAACGAAAAUCGUAAAAAAAAUUACGGCACUUCAAAUUAUGUAUUGCUGAACUACGCUCGAAAUUGUCUUUUGUCAAGCAAUGGUUUACCAUUGCUUACAGAUAUAAAUGAAAUAACCUUAUGUAUCCUACCUUCUCAACUUCUAACCUACAACAAACAGUGGCCGCUCCCAACCCCAAUAUCAGCUUUUUUUUUUCUUUUACUUUUUAAUUAUGGGUACCCUACAUUAAACCAGCACACAUAUCAGGCUAAUUAUUUUUAAAAAUAGGAAUAUGGAUAGGUACAUAUUAUAAAAUAAAUUUAUUGAAACAUUUUUGAUUAAAACAAUUAAUUUAUAUACAUAUGAAAUAUGGCCAGGAAAUUAAUUCAGAGCCUUAUUUUCAACAUUUUUCGGAGAGGGAUACUGA